UACGGGGGGAGCAAGCGUUGUUCGGAUUUACUGGGCGUAAAGGGCGCGUAGGCGGUCAGCACAAGUCAGUUGUGAAAUCUCCGGGCUUAACUCGGAAAGGUCAACUGAUACUGUGCGACUAGAGUGCGGAAGGGGCAACUGGAAUUCUCGGUGUAGCGGUGAAAUGCGUAGAUAUCGAGAGGAACACCUGCGGCGAAGGCGGGUUGCUGGGGUUAUCUUGACGCUGAGGCGCGAAAGCUGGGGGAGCGAACGGG
rnacentral:rRNA from 1 species